GCUGCAGAUUCCAAUAAAUAUCGCACAAGAUCUAAGUGUCCCUCUUGCGCGGCCUCCAUCAAAGGCGUCGAUGCACCCAAUUCUAUAUCUGCUCCCGCCUUAAUUAAAAAAUCGGCAAUUUCCAGAAAACCGCCACAACAAGCCAAGGUAAGCGCCGUUUCUUGAGUUUCCUCAGUUUGGGCAUUGAUGUUUGCACCUA